CCUACGGGAGACAGCAGUGAGGAAUAUUGGUCAAUGGGCGAGAGCCUGAACCAGCCAAGUCGCGUGAGGUAAGACGGUCCUAUGGAUUGUAAACCUCUUUUGCCGGGGAGCAAAAAGCGGUACGUGUACCGCAUCGAGAGUACCCGGAGAAAAAGCAUCGGCUAACUCCGUGCCAGCAGCCGCGGUAAUACGGAGGAUGCGAGCGUUAUCCGGAUUUAUUGGGUUUAAAGGGUGCGCAGGCGGCGGGUUAAGUCAGCGGUAAAAGUUCGGGGCUCAACCCCGACAAGCCGUUGAACCUGGCUUGCUAGGGUGGGAGAGAAGUAUGCGGGAUGCGGGGUGUAGCGGUGGAAUGCAUAGAUAUCACGCAGGACUCCGAUUGCGAAGGCAGCAUACCGGCGCCCAACUGACGCUCAGGCACGAAAGCGUGGGUAUCGAACAGGAUUAGAUACCCCUGGUAGUC
rnacentral:rRNA from 1 species